rnacentral:lncRNA from 1 species
CCAGUGUAGAAACACGGUGAAAAUGGUUUAAACUAAAAACACAACAUGAUGAUGGAAAAAGGGUUCCGAGUCUCAGCAACACAGCUCCUGCCCCCUCCAAAUUGAGGACUGACAAAGAAAUUCAAGAGGAGAAAACGGCUCAAGAGCAGCACAGAACUCCGUCUGUCACGUGGCUUUACGCAGCUGGGCAGCACCACAGAAGUGUGUUUGACAGAGAGAACUGUUUUGAAUCAACCCUCUGAGAUGUCGAAAUCAGCCUGUCAGACUUUGCUCACUCUAUCACAUUUCCCAAGAAGAGGAUCAGAGAUAAAGAGAAAUAUGGAAAUUUGGAGUAAAAGGUGAGGAUAGAGAACAAGAAAAAAAAAGUGCCUUCAGAGACUGCAAAAAGGAAUUCAAUAAAAUAUAGGACAAUCUGGUUACUAACUUGAAGUCAGAAAUGUGAAGAAAAUAGUGUAUCAAAACGUUACAGAAAAAUCCAACCACUGUAUCCAAGUGAAUGACACCUUAGAGACAUAAUGAAGAAUUGUACAGGGAAGAAACUUUGUGAGUUACCAAAUAAUUAAAACUUCUUAAAG